AUCUGGGUGGCGAAAUUCAGAAUGGCUGGGAGUUUUGCACUUUUCCGGCCGUUUGAUGUUUUCGUCGCCGUGUCAGACGUCGCGACCUGUUUGUCGUCGGUCCUUGUUCAAAGGAAUUGCAAUCGAGUUCAUUGUGGGUGCGUUUCCGCGCACCAUACGGUGAAGAUGCGAAUUUCUGGCUGACGAUGGACAGUAAGCAAUGGUGGCCAAUGUUGUGCGUUUGUACGCGGCAUUGGUACCGGUCAGCGACGAUUUCUUCGGGCCUCUUUCCGACCCGUCUUGAAACACGGACCAAGGAGUCUAACAUACGCGCGAGUCGCGGGGUUUCGAGUGUACUACGGUGCACUCGGCAUUCUUUAAACCCGUAUACGUUGAAGGCGUAAUGAAAGUAAAUUGGGAAGAUGGUGUUCCGAGUAAACGAACCGCAAUUUGUUGCGGCCGGACGCCCGCAUUCCCGGGGCGUCUUGAAUGCUCGUUGCGGAUGCGGCUGGUUGUCUUUCGGGGCAAUCGGCGGUCUGUGACGGUCUGA
rnacentral:rRNA from 1 species